AACGAACGCUGGCGGCAUGCCUAACACAUGCAAGUCGAACGAGACCUUCGGGUCUAGUGGCGCACGGGUGCGUAACGCGUGGGAACCUGCCCUUAGGUUCGGAAUAACUCCCCGAAAGGGGUGCUAAUACCGGCUAAUGUCUUCGGACCAAAGAUUUAUCGCCUUUGGAUGGGCCCGCGUUGGAUUAGCUAGUUGGUAGGGUAAAAGCCUACCAAGGCGACGAUCCAUAGCUGGUUUGAGAGGAUGAUCAGCCACACUGGGACUGAGACACGGCCCAGACUACUACGGGAGGCAGCAGUGGGGAAUAUUGGACAAUGGGCGAAAGCCUGAUCCAGCAAUGCCGCGUGAGUGAUGAAGGCCUUAGGGUUGUAAAGCUAUUUUACCCGGGAUGAUAAUGACAGUACCGGGAGAAUAAGCUCCGGCUAACUCCGUG
rnacentral:rRNA from 1 species